AAAUUUUAAUUUUUAGUGAUUGGAAUGAUGGGAAUCCAAACCCCUUUCAGAGUAACAAUUGGAGGGCAAGUCUGGUGCCAGCAGCCGCGGUAAUUCCAGCUCCAAUAGCGUAUAUUAAAGUUGUUGCAGUUAAAAAGCUCGUAGUUGGAUUUCUGCUGGAAGCAGCCAGUCCGCCCUUAGGGGUGUGUACGUGGUGAAAUUCCGGCAUCCUUCUGGUAGCGCUUCACACUUAACUGGGUGAAGUGUGUUUCCAGGACUUUUACUUUGA
rnacentral:rRNA from 1 species